AGCAGCCGCGGUAAUUCCAGCUCCAAUAGCGUAUAUUAAAGUUGUUGCAGUUAAAAAGCUCGUAGUUGAAUUUCGGGAUCAGUACGCCGGUCGUGCCUUCGGUAUGUACUGGUGUCACUGAUUCCUCCCUUCUGACGAACCGUUAUGCCAUUUAUUUGGUGUGGCGGGGAAUCAGGACUGUUACUUUGAAAAAAUUAGAGUGUUUAAAGCAAGCAUACGCUUGAAUACAUUAGCAUGGAAUAAUGAAAUAGGACGUUUGAUUCUAUUUUGUUGGUUUCUAGGAUCGACGUAAUGAUUAAUAGGGAUAGUUGGGGGCAUUAGUAUUCAAUUGUCAGAGGUGAAAUUCUUGGAUUUAUUGAAGACUAAUUACUGCGAAAGUAUUUGCCAAGGAUGUUUUCAUUAAUCAAGAACGAAAGUUAGGGGAUCGAAGACGAUCAGAUACCAUCGUAGUCUUAACCAUAAACUAUGCCGACUAGGGAUCGGAUGAUGUUAUUUUAAUGACUCAUUCGGCGCCUUACGG
rnacentral:rRNA from 1 species